CGCACGCGCGGGGACGUACACGCCGGGACGCACGUCCGCGGCCCCGCCUCGUCUGGGGACUGUACAGGGUUCGCUCCUGCUGAGCUGUUUCCAAAAGUACACGUCGUGCGGUUUUGAGUCAUUGCGGUCUGGAGUGAGACGAGGCGUGUGCCUCGACUGCCAUCUCCGGCUAUAGAAAACGUUUGAAGGAGUCAGAGAGUACAUCUCCCUCCUACCUACUCGGUGGAAAACACCGACGGCCUUAGUGUCCGUGAAGCCCUGCCACGGAGGGUGGCUUCUUCUCCAGAGAUUUCGGCAAGCACUGAAUUGUCAGAGGGCACCAGACCCCCAUCCCACUCGUUAUUUUCUUCAAGGACUGAAGAGCAGGUUUUGUUUCACUUCUUAGAGGUACCAAGAUUCCAGAUCCCGAGUUUCAGUUGCCAUCGAUAUCACUGGAAUGGUGAGGCCCUUGUGCACCACGUAAAGCUCUGCUCUCUGUGAGAGUUUGUCGUGUCGUUUAAGAAGAUAUGAAAUACACCUGGCCCUGGUAUGGGACCCUAACUACAUAUGGGCAAGUCACUUGGUAUUUAAACGGGCCUCAGUUUUCUCAUCUGUAGUGAAGUCUCUUUGGUCUCAGCUGCAGAAGUGAGAUGAUGAAGGGAACGUUACUGUUUGGAAAGCAUCACAAUAAGACACCCCUGUUGUGCCACCGCUGUGGCUCUAAGGCCUGCCACCUUCAGAAGAUGACUGUGGCAAAUGUGGCUACCCUGCCAAAUGCAAGAGGAAGUAUAACUGGAGUGCCAAGGAGAGAAGAUGAAAUACCUCUGGGUCUGGGUGAAUGAGACACCUAAAAAUUGUAUAUUGCAGAUUCAGGCACAGAUGCCGUGAAGGAACAACUCAACCCAAGAGGGCAGCUGUUGCGGCAUCCAGUUUAUCUUAAGAAUUUCAAUGAUUAGUCAUGCGAUAAAUGUUCUGGUUUAAAAAAAUAAAUAAAUAAGUAAAUAUUUGCUGA